rnacentral:rRNA from 1 species
CCAAUAGCGUAUAUUAAAGUUGUUGCAGUUAAAAAGCUCGUAGUUGAAUUUCGGGAUCAAUAUGUUGGUCGUACCUUGGUACGUACUAAUUUAUUGGUUUCUUCCUUCUGACGAACCUUGAUGUCAUUAAUUUGGUGUCUUGGGGAAUCAGGACUGUUACUUUGAAAAAAUUAGAGUGUUUAAAGCAGGCUCACGCUUGAAUACAUUAGCAUGGAAUAAUGAAAUAGGACGUUUGAUUCUAUUUUGUUGGUUUCUAGGAUUGACGUAAUGAUUAAUAGGGAUAGUUGGGGGCAUUAGUAUUCAAUUGUCAGAGGUGAAAUUCUUGGAUUUAUUGAAGACUAACUACUGCGAAAGCAUUUGCCAAGGAUGUUUUCGUUAAUCAAGAACGAAAGUUAGGGGAUCGAAGACGAUCAGAUACCGUCGUAGUCUUAACCAUAAACUAUGCCGACUAGGGAUCGGAUGAUGUUAAUUUUUUAAUGACUCAUUCGGCGCCUUACG